AAAUAUUGGGGGAGCAGAGCAUUUCGUGUUCUCACUUUGACAAACAAUUUUCUGUUCAUGGAGGUGCUGCGAAGUUUAGGUAAUCUUGUAGCUGGAGAUAGUCAGACUACUCAUGUUGUUCUUAUUGCUGGACAAGAUAUCACAGAUAAUGCCAUCUCGGCAUUAAUAAAAUGUUUGAAAAGUGAACACCGGGUCUUGAAAAAGGAGGCAGCUUGGGUUUUAUCUAAUAUUGCAGCUGGUUCCCUCGCACACAAGCAGUUGAUACAUUCCAGUGAAGCAGUUCCUUUACUAUUGCGUCUUCUUUUAACUGCACCAUUUGACAUACGAAAGGAAGCAGCAUAUGCAUUGGGCAACCUCUGUGUUGCUCCGAUGGAAGGUGCUGGACAACCAAAUGUGAUUUUGGAGCACUUGGUCUCCCUUGUUGGUAGGGGAUGCCUUCCUGGGUUCAUAAACUUGGUUAGAUCUGCUGACAUAGAUGCUGCUAGACUUGGACUUCAAUUCUUGGAGCUGGUCAUGAGGGGAAUGCCCAAUGGUGAGGGGCCAAAGCUUGUUGAGAGGGAAGACGGAAUUGAUGCCAUGGAAAGAUUUCAGUUUCACGAAAACGAAGACCUGAGAAACAUGGCAAAUGGAUUAGUCGAUCGGUACUUUGGGGAGAACUAUGGCCUUGAUGAUUGAAAACUGGAUUCUUCAGGACACCUGAUCCAUGGCUCUUCAGUUGACCGUCUUUCUAGGCUCUCAGCUUCAAUACAUAUUUUACAAGCGUGCAUGUCCGCCACUCUGAAUGCGCAGAAAGCUCCCAAAACCAGUCAAGUUUUUUCCCCCCUGAAUUAGUUUGGCCCGUGGAAGAUAAAUUGGUGUUAACAGCAGAUUGGAAACUGACCACCUUGAGCUUGUGGAUCCGAUCCUUGCUUGCCUACCAAAGUAGAGGCAUUUUAUAACUCAAGAAAGAAGGAACAGAGGAAUCAAGCACUGCUUUUAACUUUGUUUGCAAUGUUCCUCGAGUCUUCUGAUAGAUCAACAGCACGUCUGGUUCUCUCAGUCCUCGGGAGGAUGGAGGAAGAUGUCAGGGGCCAGCCUAAACGGCCUGAUGGAUUCUGUUCUGGUGAAGUGAUGAAUGGACGUAGAACACCGGCAUCAUCUCUCCUGCGUAGAAAAAACCUUAGAUGCUUCUUUUUUGCAAUCUCCACAUUCACAACUUCCCCCCCCCCCCGGAAUGAGGUGUUGGAGAUGUCUCCACCUCACCAAGAGGGCAACCGAGCAGUUGUAAGAGCAAGAAUUUUCACAUAAUCAAAUUGUUCCCAUUUAUGUGAGUA